UGUGUCGAGACUCAAAAACACACAAAACCCACAACUUCAGUCCCAUAGAUGAAGCAGCACUGGACUGUAAGGAGGAACUCAAGAUCAAACUGGAGCCCCUAAGAAAUAAAUUCAAGACCUUUGAAGAAGUUAAACUCAUCUGUGACCAAACAACAGCACACAUUAAGACUCAGACCCAGCACACAGAGAAACAGAUCAAGGAGGAGUUUG